UACGGAGGGUGCAAGCGUUGCUCGGAAUUACUGGGCGUAAAGCGCGUGUAGGCGGUUUCGUGUGUCUGAUGUGAAAUCCCCGGGCUCAACCCGGGAAGUGCAUUGGAAACUGCGAGACUAGAGUCCCGGAGAGGAAGGUGGAAUUCCAGGUGUAGCGGUGAAAUGCGUAGAUAUCUGGAAGAACACCGGUGGCGAAGGCGGCGUUCUGGACCAUUACUGACACUGAACCGCGAAAGCUAGGGGAGCAAACGGG
rnacentral:rRNA from 1 species